CUACGGGCCGCUCCAGUCGAGAAUCUUGGGCAAUGCGCGAAAGCGUGACCCAGCAAUGCCGCGUGUGUGAUGAAGGCCCUCGGGUCGUAAAACACUGUCUCCCGUGACGAUAAUGACGGUAGCGGGGAAGGAAGCCACGGCUAACUACGUGCCAGCAGCCGCGGUAAUACGUAGGUGGCGAGCGUUGUUCGGAUUUAUUGGGCGUAAAGGGUCUGUAGGAGGUUUGUUAAAUUCGAGGUGAAAUCCCGUGGCUCAACCACGGAACUGCCUUGGAGACUGAUAGACUAGGGUGCUGGAGAGGUAAACGGAAUACCAAGUGUAGCGGUGGAAUGCGUAGAUAUUUGGUAGAACACCAAGAGCGAAGGCAGUUUACUGGACAGUAACCGACUCUGAGAGACGAAAGCGUGGGGAGCAAACAGGAUUAGAUACCCCCGUAGUC
rnacentral:rRNA from 1 species